AUACGGAGGGUGCAAGCGUUAUCCGGAUUCAUUGGGUUUAAAGGGUUCGCAGGCGGCGUAUUAAGUCAGUGGUAAAAUCCCGAGGCUCAACCUCGGAACUGCCAUUGAUACUGGUAUGCUAGAGUAUAGUUGGCGUUGGCGGAAUGUAUCAUGUAGCGGUGAAAUGCUUAGAUAUGAUACAGAACACCGAUCGCGAAGGCAGCUAACGAAACUAUAACUGACGCUCAGGAACGAAAGCGUGGGGAGCGAACAGGAUUAGAAACCCCGGUAGUCC
rnacentral:rRNA from 1 species